GAUGAACGCUGGCUACGGCCUAACACAUGCAAGUCGAGGGGAAACGCUUGUUGCUGCUUGCACUUUUUGGACGUCCAAAGGGGCGAGGGAGAGUAACGCGAACCGCACCUUCCCAUGACUAAACUAUAACCUGCCAAAAGGCAUACCAAUACCUUAUGGUCUUCACUGACUGUUUCCUAUGUGAAGUAAACAUUUACACUUUAUGGAGGGCGAGGCGUCUGAUUACUUUGUUGGGAGGGUAACGGCCCACCAGGGCACCAAUCAUAACGGAUUCGAAAAGGAGAGCCCCCCCCCUGGGAACUGAAACCCGGUCCAACUCCCUACGGGAGGCAGCAUAGAGAAACAUCGGUCAAUGGGCGAGAUCCUGACCCGCCCCAGUACCGGGCAGGAUGACGGCCCCAUAUCUUGUAAACUGCUUUUGUAAGAAGAUAAAGUGAAUCACGGGAGAUUGUUUGCUGUGACCAUACCAUACAAGACCGGCAAAGUCCAUGCCAUGCCCCGCGCCAAUACAGAACGUCCGUCCGUUAUCCUGAUUUAAUGUGUUGAAAGGAAGCGUAGGCUGGAGAUUUAGUGUGUUGUGAAAUGUAGGCUUCAACUUCUGACUUGCACGCGCAUGCAGGUUUCCUUGAUUACGCGCAAAGUUGGAGAGAGUAAUUCGUGUGUGCGGUGAAAUGCUUAGAUGUGACGAAGAACUACGAUUGCGAAGGCAGCUGACGGGAGCGCAACUGACGCUGAUGCUCGAAGGAGCGCGUAUCGAACAGGAUUAUAUACACCUGCUAGUCCAAGGGCGAAUUCCACAGUGGAUAUCAUGCUUAUCGAUACCGUCGACCUCGAGGGGGGGGCCCGGUACCCAGCUUUUGUUCUCUUUAUUGAGGGAGUAAUUAUUAAGUGCCUGGGAGUGUUGUAGUUGUCUGGUUUGUAGUGUUUGUGAUGUGUGUGUGUUGUGUGCUUCGUGUCUGUGAUUGUGUGUGUGUGUUU
rnacentral:rRNA from 1 species